rnacentral:rRNA from 1 species
AUGGUCACCGCUUGGGACCCCAGCGUCCUGAGUCUGUCCGCGUCCUCGGCCUCCCGUUACACGCUUACUGCCUCCCUUUCUUCCACGCGGUGCGCUCUCUCCUUCCGGAUCACUAACGUUUACGCUCCCUCCGAUCAUGCUUUCACGACAGACUUUGUCGAGGACCUAAUGUCGGUCGCGAUGGGCAUCACCGGCCCCUGGCUGGUGCUUAGGGAUUUCAAUCUCAUCCGCUUCCCUCACGAGAAGAAUAACAACCGCUUUGAUGCAUCUCGUGCGGCUGUGUUCAACUCCCUCGUUAACUCUCUUGCUCUACACGAGCUCGCCCUAUCGGAUAGGCUGUUUACUUGGACGAACAGG